GUACUUCAGCAGCACAUAUACUAAAGUUGGAACGAUACAGAGAAGAUUAGCAUGGCCCCUGCGCAAGGAUGACACACAAAUUCGUGAAGCAUUCCAUAUUAAA
ensembl:snRNA U6 U6 spliceosomal RNA